rnacentral:lncRNA from 1 species
AAAGCCCCGCCCCCCGCGCGUUGCCGGGAGACGGCGCCCAACCUUCCUCUGCAGCGCCCCUACCGACCCGCGCUCCGCAGCUCCUGAGGGCUUUCGAGCCCAGAUGGUCAUCUGAGACGAGAGGUGGCGGCGAAGGAGAGUCUCGCCUGUCACGCUCCCGGAGCAGGGGCUUCAUGAGGUGGCCAUGGAAACAGCCUGGCAGACUCCCAUCUCUCCUGGUGCCAUCUCCGGAGCGGAAAGUGGAGCGCCCCGCUGGCGACCAAGGCCGCACUGAGAGCCCUGGUUUGGUCAACAGUUGGGCUCCAAGGAGCCCUGGUAUUCCUUGAACAUGCAUACCUUUCCCAGCGUGAGGGACAUGGACCGUGCCGUGCGAGGGACCCCAUCUUCUGCAGCAGGAGGGAGCAGAGAAGAGAACACAGGGAUUCCUGUUGCUAAAAGGUCUGUUUUCUCCUGCUAGCCACCCUCAUCAGCCAGAGUUCAAACCCUGACAGUGCCCAUGGAGAGAUCUGGUCCAAGGCACCAACCUCUUCCUGCUGGACUGAGAAAGAGCCUCCUACUGUGUCUCUCUUUACCUCAGCUUUUGCACACCUCCAAUAUAUUGUCCACUGAAGUCAGAAUAAUCUAAAAAUAAAGGCUGAUUACCUCAUGUGGUAUAAACUUAAAAAAAAAAA